AACGAACGCUGGCGGCAUGCCUAACACAUGCAAGUCGAACGAGACCUUCGGGUCUAGUGGCGCACGGGUGCGUAACGCGUGGGAACCUGCCCUUAGGUUCGGAAUAACUCCCCGAAAGGGGUGCUAAUACCGGAUAAUGUCUUCGGACCAAAGAUUUAUCGCCUUUGGAUGGGCCCGCGUUGGAUUAGCUAGUUGGUAGGGUAAAAGCCUACCAAGGCGACGAUCCAUAGCUGGUCUGAGAGGAUGAUCAGCCACACUGGGACUGAGACACGGCCCAGAAUCCUACGGGAGGCAGCAGUGGGGAAUAUUGGAAAAUGGGCGAAAGCCUGAUCCAGCAAUGCCGCGUGAGUGAUGAAGGCCUUAGGGUUGUAAAGCUCUUUUAACCGGGAUGAUAAUGACAGUACCGGGAGAAUAAGCUCCGGCUAACUCCGUG
rnacentral:rRNA from 1 species